rnacentral:rRNA from 1 species
GACGAACGCUGGCGGCGUGCUUAACACAUGCAAGUCGAGCGAGGCCCCUCCUUCGGGAGGGUGUCCUAGCGGCGAACGGGUGAGUAACACGUGGGCAACCUGCCCUCAGCUCUGGGAUAACUCCGGGAAACCGGGGCUAAUACCGGAUACGACCUCCACGGGCAUCUGCGGAGGUGGAAAGUUUUUCGGCUGAGGAUCGGCCCGCGGCCUAUCAGCUAGUUGGUGGGGUAGUGGCCCACCAAGGCGACGACGGGUAGCCGGCCUGAGAGGGCGACCGGCCACACUGGGACUGAGACACGGCCCAGACUCCUACGGGAGGCAGCAGUGGGGAAUAUUGCGCAAUGGGCGAAAGCCUGACGCAGCGACGCCGCGUGAGGGACGAAGGCCUUCGGGUUGUAAACCUCUUUCAGCAGGGACGAAGCGAAAGUGACGGUACCUGCAGAAGAAGCACCGGCCGACUACGUG